GUCUAAGGCCAUGCUACCCUGAAUAUGCCAGAUUUCAUAUGAUCUCAGAAGCUAAGCAGGGUCAGGCCUGGUUAGUACUUGAAUGAAAGACCACCUAGGAAUGCUAGGCGCUGUAGGCA
ensembl:rRNA 5S_rRNA 5S ribosomal RNA